UACGAAGGGGGCUAGCGUUGUUCGGAUUUACUGGGCGUAAAGCGCACGUCGGCGGAUCGAUCAGUCAGGGGUGAAAUCCCAGAGCUCAACUCUGGAACUGCCUUUGAUACUGUCGAUCUGGAGUAUGGAAGAGGUAAGUGGAAUUCCGAGUGUAGAGGUGAAAUUCGUAGAUAUUCGGAGGAACACCAGUGGCGAAGGCGGCUCACUGGUCCAUUACUGACGCUGAGGUGCGAAAGCGUGGGGAGCAAACAGG
rnacentral:rRNA from 1 species